rnacentral:rRNA from 1 species
CUUCCGCCGGCGACCGGCGCACGGGUGAGUAACACGUAUGCAACCUGCCCCUGUCAGGGGGACAACCCGCCGAAAGGCGGGCUAAACCCGCGUACAUGCCACCGGGGCAUCCCGGAGGCAGGAAAGGCUUCGGCCGGACAGGGAUGGGCAUGCGGCGCAUUAGGCAGUAGGCGGGGUAACGGCCCACCGUGGCGACGAUGCGUAGGGGUUCUGAGAGGAAGGUCCCCCACACUGGUACUGAGACACGGACCAGACUCCUACGGAAGGCAGCAG